AACGCACAUUGCGCCCUUUGGUAUUCCGAAGGGCAUGCCUGUUCGAGCGUCAUUGCAAACCCUCAAGCCCCGCUUGGUCUUGGGCGCAGGUCCCCGCGGACCCGCCCGUAACCCGUCGGCGGCACCGUCCGGCUCUCAGCGUAGCAAGAACUUUCACUCGCUUCGGAGCUCGUGGCGGCGCCCGCCUGGAAAGCAACGCACCCGUAGUUUGACCUCGGAUCAGGUAGGGAUACCCGCUGAACUUAA
rnacentral:misc_RNA from 1 species